rnacentral:rRNA from 1 species
GAUAAACGCUGGCGGCGCACAUAAGACAUGCAAGUUGAACGGACUUAAUCGAAAUAUUUAUAUUUUGAAGCGGUUAGUGGCGGACUGGUGAGUAACGCGUAAGGAACCUGCCUAUUAGAGGGGAAUAACAGUGAGAAAUCAUUGCUAAUACCGCAUAUGCCAUAGAUAUCACAUGAUAACAGUGGGAAAGGAGCAAUCCGCUAAUAGAUGGCCUUGCGUCUGAUUAGAUAGUUGGUGGGGUAACGGCCUACCAAGUCGACGAUCAGUAGCCGGACUGAGAGGUUGAACGGCCACAUUGGGACUGAGAUACGGCCCAGACGCCUACGGGAGGCAGCAGUCGGGAAUAUUGCGCAAUGGAGGAAACUCGGACGCAGUGACGCCGCGUAUAGGAAGAAGGUUUUCGGAUUGUAAACUAUUGUCGUUAGGGAAGAGAAAGGACAGUACCUAAGGAGGAAGCUCCGGCUAACUACGUG